rnacentral:rRNA from 1 species
GUAGGUGGCAAGCGUUGUCCGGAAUUAUUGGGCGUAAAGCGCGCGCAGGCGGUCCUUUAAGUCUGAUGUGAAAGCCCACGGCUCAACCGUGGAGGGUCAUUGGAAACUGGGGGACUUGAGUACAGAAGAGGAAAGCGGAAUUCCAAGUGUAGCGGUGAAAUGCGUAGAGAUUUGGAGGAACACCAGUGGCGUAGGCGGCUUUCUGGUCUGUAACUGACGCUGAGGCGCGAAAGCGUGGGGAGCAAACAGGAUUAGAUACCCUGGUAGUCCACGCCGUAAACGAUGAGUGCUAAGUGUUAGGGGGUUUCCCGCCCCCCUUAGUGCUGCAGCUAACGCAUUAAGCACUCCGCCUGGGGAGUACGGCCGCAAGGCUG